rnacentral:rRNA from 1 species
UUUGAUGGCGACCGGCGCACGGGUGAGUAACACGUAUCCAACCUGCCGAUGACUCGGGGAUAGCCUUUCGAAAGAAAGAUUAAUACCCGAUGGCAUAGUUCUUCCGCAUGGUGGAACUAUUAAAGAAUUUCGGUCAUCGAUGGGGAUGCGUUCCAUUAGGUUGUUGGCGGGGUAAUGGCCCACCAAGCCUUCGAUGGAUAGGGGUUCUGAGAGGAAGGUCCCCCACAUUGGAACUGAGACACGGUCCAAACUCCUACGGGAGGCAGCAUG